UUUGUUAGUUGAAAAAGCUUAAGUUUUGGUGACUUUAAUAGUGAACUAGUGUUUAGGAGGUGAUGUUGUUGGUGACUUUAUUUGUUGAAAAUGCUUAAGUGCCGGUGACUUUAAAAGUGAACUUUUGUUUAGAAGGUGAUGUUGUUGGUGACUUUAUUUGAUGAAAAUGCUUAAGUGCCGAUGACUUUAAUAGGGAACUUUUGUUUGGAAGGUGAUGCUGUUGGUUACUUUAUUUGUUGAAAAUGCUUAAGUGCCGGUGACUUUAAUAAUGCUUAAGUUUUGGUGACUUGUUUAGUGAACCAGUGUUUAGGAGGUGAUGUUGUUGGUGCCUUUAUUUGUUGAAAAUGCUUAAGUUUUGGUGACUUUAAUAGUGAAUUAGUGUUAAGGAGGUGAUGUUGUUGGUUACUUUAUUUGUUGAAAAUGCUUAAGUGCCG
rnacentral:lncRNA from 1 species